AGAGUGUUUUUCAUUUCUAAAAAAAUGCGGUUUAGAAUGAUGCUCUACCUUAAAGCGCUAUAGCGCAGUUUGUUCUGAGUUAACGCGAUUUACGACAUACAGAUUUGACAGUUAGCGGUACGGUGAACGUUGACUUUAAAUAUUGUAUUGCUCAUACAUCUUACGAACAUCUACUGACCAUGAAGCAUAUUUUAGAGGAAGUUCUUCUACUAUGCUUAAGCAAGAUCUUAUACUUGGCUCCAUAAAACUCUCGUUUCUUUUAUCAGUUACCGUGUUAGUAUCAUUAAAGGUGAUAUAUGUAAAUACUAUAUUACAAAUAAGGCCAGGUAGGCCACAGGAGGAGGGAAUAAAAGAAUAAAAAAACUGAACGUUUAUCGACAAAAGCAAAGACUUUGGCUGCAAAGACACAAACAAACAAAAUGGCGGAGGCUUCGAAAUCUACAAUGAGCGAACCAGCCAAAACAGAGGGAGAGAUGAGAAGAAGUAAAUGCGUGAGACAGCCAUCUAAGAGAAUGUUGUUGUAUUCUCAGGACACAGAUUCAGAUUCAAGUCUACAGAAGAGUUAAGGAAAACGUCCUGCCAGAAAGAUCCAGAAAGUUGAUACAUUAGCAACAAUAACUAAGUGGUGCUCUUGUCACAGAUGCCCACAAUACGAUAGAGUGGAAGAUCGAAUUUGCUGUGGGAUGGUCCCAGAAUUAUGCUCAAGUCACAGAACUGAGAUGACUCUAUCGGUGCUGGAUAGGAUGACCCUCUACCGUCAGCAGCAGUAUCAACAAGAUGUGUUUUCCUUUUAUGCAGAGACACUAGAAGAUGUCAAUAAAUCUUUCAGACAUGCUGCAUACAGACAAUUUACCAUCUUAAUGCAUGAGAAUAACUGUCCCAGCAUGUUGUGUUAAAUUAAUAAGGGAGAAGUUUCCUAGUCCUUAAGGCCAGUAUACAGGCUUCGUACCAGGUGAAGGCCCAAUGUUCUAAUAAUUUUGCAUAUUUAUGCCCCCCUUCGAAGAAGAGGGGGUAUAUAGUUUUGCACAUGUCGGUCCGUCCACCAGAUGGUUUCGGGAUGAUAACUUAAGAACGCUUAGGCCUAGGAUCAUGAAACUUCAUAGGUACAUUGAUCAUGACUGGCAAAUAACCCCUAUUGAUUUUCAGGUCACUUGGUCAAAGGUCAGUGACUCGAAACAGUAAGGUGGUUUCCGGAUGAUAACUCAAGAAUGCUUACGCCUAGGAUCUUGAAACUUCAUAGGUACAUUGAUCACGACUGGCAGAUGACCCCUUUAUUUUUUCUUCUCACAAGGUCAAAGGUCAAGGUCACAGUGACUCAAAACAAUAAAAUGGUUUCCAGCUGAUAACUCAAGAAUGCUUACGCCUUUUGAUCAUGAAACUUCAUAGCUAAAUUGAUAAUGACUGGCAGAUGACCCCUUUUGAUUUUCAUGUCAAGGUCAUAGUGACUCGAAAUAGUAAAAUGGUUUCCUGAUGAUAACUCAAGAAUAAUUAGGCCUAGGAUCAGGAAACUUCAUAGGUACAUUGAUCAUGACUGACAGAUGACCCCUAUUAAUUUUCAGGUCACUAUGUCAAAGGUCAAGGUCACAGUGACAAAAAACGUAUUCACACAAUGGCUGCCACUACAACUGACAGCCCACAUGGGGGACAUGCAUGUUUUACAAACAGCCCUUGUUGCUAUUCUUUUUCAUUUAUCAGACAUAGAACUUUUCUUAGUUUUGAUUAUUUUUUGUUCUGGCUCCUUUUUUGAAACAUUUAUAUUUAUGCAAAUCAUUUGAGUUAUGCUUAAUCAUUUGGAUUUUUCAGUUCUAUGCAUUUUGUUUUGAAAAAUCAAUUUGUGUGAAAUGUGCUUGUUUAUUAUUAAAACUUGCACAGCAGUUUUGACAUUUUUAUGCUUACUUUGGUGUCAUUUGAAUGAUAUGCCACGAGUACUCUGGAUUGUAAGAUGAAAGAAAUAAAAGAAGCAAUGACAUAUUUCUUAAGAAUACUAUGUAAAUAAACUAAUUGAAAAUCAAAAUUCAUUUCUUGUAUACUUAUUUUAUUUUCUUGUUUGAACUUAAUAGUUUGAUUUUUACACUUUUUAGCUCACCUGAACACAAUGUGCUCAUGGUAAGCUUUUGUGAUCGCCUUUUGUCCGUCGUGCGGCGUCUACAUUUGCCUUGUUAACACUCUACAGCCGUACAGGCCACAUUUAUUGCCCAAUCUAAAUGAAAUUUGUCAAAAGAUUGGUCUUGAGGAUAUUUUGGAUGAGAUGCUUGAAAAGACCGUUCAUAAAAACAGUCAAUAGUGUAUUACCUGUUUUUAUUUUAAUUUUUUAUAUCUUUUGCUUUUAUUGAAUUUUAAGUUUGCAUUUUGAUUUUUUUAUUAUGCCCCCCUUCGAAGAAGAGGAGGUAUGUUGUUCGCUCAUGUCGGUCAGUCAGUCCGUCCGUCCACCGAAUAGUUUCCGGAUGAUAACUCAAGAAAGCUUACGCCUAGGAUCAUGAAACUUCAUAAGUUCAUUGAUCACGACUCGCAGAUGACCCCUAUUGAUUUUCAGGUGACUAGGUCAAAGGUCAAGGUCACAGUGACAAAAAACGUAUUCACACUAUGGCUGCCACUACAACUGACAGCCCAUAUGGGGGGCAUGCAUGUUUUACAAACAGCCCUUGUUUAUUUUUAUUUUGAGUCAUUUUGUUUCACACUUGAUAUUUGUUAGAUUAGG